AGUGAACGCUGGCGGUAGGCCUAACACAUGCAAGUCGAACGGCAGCACAGUAAGAGCUUGCUCUUACGGGUGGCGAGUGGCGGACGGGUGAGGAAUACAUCGGAAUCUACUUUUUCGUGGGGGAUAACGUAGGGAAACUUACGCUAAUACCGCAUACGACCUACGGGUGAAAGCAGGGGAUCUUCGGACCUUGCGCGAUUGAAUGAGCCGAUGUCGGAUUAGCUAGUUGGCGGGGUAAAGGCCCACCAAGGCGACGAUCCGUAGCUGGUCUGAGAGGAUGAUCAGCCAAUGUGGAACUGACACACGGUCAAGGCUCCUAGGGGGGGGCGAGGUGGGGAAUUUGGGAAAAGGGGCGAAAGUCUGAUCCAGCCAUGCCGGGUGGGUGAAGAAGGCCUUCGGUUUGUAAAGCCCUUUUGUUGGGAAAAAAAAGAGGCAGGUUAAUACCCCGCUGUUCUGACGGUACCAAAAAAAUAAGCACCGGCUAACUGCGU
rnacentral:rRNA from 1 species